UGAGGAAUAUUGGUCAAUGGACGCAAGUCUGAACCAGCCAAGUAGCGUGCAGGAUGACGGUCCUAUGGGUUGUAAACUGCUUUUAUAUGGGGAUAAAGUGGGGAACGUGUUCCCUUUUGCAGGUAUCAUAUGAAUAAGGACCGGCUAAUUCCUUGCCAGCAGCCGCGGUAAUACUGAAGGUUCGGGCGUUAUCCGGUUUUAUUGGGUUUAAAGGGAGCGAAGGCCGUUUGGUAAGCGUGUUGUGAAAUGUAGGAGCUCAACUUCUAGAUUGAAGCGCGAACUGUCAGACUUGAGUGCGCACAACGUAGGCGGAAUUCAUGGUGUAGCGGUGAAAUGCUUAGAUAUCAUGAAGAACUCCAAUUGCGAAGGCAGCUUACGGGAGCGCAACAGACGCUGAAGCUCGAAGGUGCAGGUAUCGAACAGG
rnacentral:rRNA from 1 species